rnacentral:rRNA from 1 species
UGGGGGAAUUUUCCGCAAUGGGCGAAAGCCUGACGGAGCAAUGCCGCGUGGAGGUGGAAGGCCUACGGGUCGUCAACUUCUUUUCUCGGAGAGAAACAAUGACGGUAUCUGAGGAAUAAGCAUCGGCUAACUCUGUGCCAG